GGAGCCGGACAGGCAAUCGCGGCCCGCAAGGGUCGAGGAAAGUCCGAACUCCACAGGGCGGUGUGCCUCGUAACGCGAGGGGGGGGCGACCCCACGGAAAGUGCCACAGAAAAUAUACCGCCCCGCAAGGCGGGGUAAGGGUGAAAAGGUGCGGUAAGAGCGCACCGCGACGCUGGUAACAGCGGCGGCAGGGCAAACCCCACACGGAGCAAGGUCAAAUAGAAAAGCGCUUCCCGCAAGGGAUGAAGGGCGGCCCGU
rnacentral:RNase_P_RNA from 1 species